rnacentral:rRNA from 1 species
GACGAACGCUGGCGGCGUGCUUAACACAUGCAAGUCGAACGGCAAGGCCCUGCUUGCAGGGUACUCGAGUGGCGAACGGGUGAGUAACACGUGGGUGAUCUGCCCUGCACUUCGGGAUAAGCCUGGGAAACUGGGUCUAAUACCGGAUAGGAGCCAUUUUUAGUGUGAUGGUUGGAAAGUUUUUUCGGUGUAGGAUGAGCUCGCGGCCUAUCAGCUUGUUGGUGGGGUAAUGGCCUACCAAGGCGGCGACGGGUAGCCGGCCUGAGAGGGUGGACGGCCACAUUGGGACUGAGAUGCGGCCCAGGCUCCUAAGGGAGGCAGAAGGGGGGAAGAUUGCACAAUGGGCACCAGCCGGAUGCAGCGACGCCGCGUGGGGGAUGACGGCCUUGGGGUUGUAAACUCCUUUCGCUAGGGACGAAGCUUGUUGUGACGGUACCUAGAUAAGAAGCACCGGCUAACUACGUG